rnacentral:rRNA from 1 species
AGAGUUUGAUCCUGGCUCAGGAUGAACGCUAGCGGCAGGCUUAAUACAUGCAAGUCGUGGGGCAGCAUAAGUAGCAAUACUUGAUGGCGACCGGCAAACGGGUGCGGAACACGUACGCAACCUUCCUUUAAGCGGGGAAUGGCCCAGAGAAAUUUGGAUUAAUACCCCAUAGUAUAAUAGAAUGGCAUCAUUUUAUUAUUAAAGAUUUAUCACUUAAAGAUGGGCGUGCGGCUGAUUAGGUAGUUGGCGGAGUAACAGCCCACCAAGCCUGCGAUCAGUAACUGGUGUGAGAGCAUGACCAGUCACACGGGCACUGAGACACGGGCCCGACUCCUACGGGAGGCAGCAGUAAGGAAUAUUGGUCAAUGGACGCAAGUCUGAACCAGCCAUGCCGCGUGGAGGAUGAAGGCCCUCUGGGUUGUAAACUUCUUUUAUCUGGGACGAAAAAAGGUUUUUCUAAAUCGUCUGACGGUACCAGAUGAAUAAGCACCGGCUAACUCCGUGCCAGCAGCCGCGGUAAUACGGAGGGUGCAAGCGUUAUCCGGAUUCACUGGGUUUAAAGGGUGCGUAGGCGGGCAGGUAAGUCAGUGGUGAAAUCUUUGGGCUUAACCCGAAAACUGCCAUUGAUACUAUCUGUCUUGAAUAUUGUGGAGGUGAGCGGAAUAUGUCAUGUAGCGGUGAAAUGCUUAGAUAUGACAUAGAACACCCAUUGCGAAGGCAGCUCACUACGCAUAUAUUGACGCUGAUGCACGAAAGCGUGGGGAUCAAACAGGAUUAGAUACCCUGGUAGUCCACGCCCUAAACGAUGGAUACUCGACAUACGCGAUACACUGUGUGUGUCUGAGCGAAAGCAUUAAGUAUCCCACCUGGGAAGUACGAUCGCAAGAUUGAAACUCAAAGGAAUUGGCGGGGGUCCGCACAAGCGGUAGAGCAUGUGGUUUAAUUCGAUGAUACGCGAGGAACCUUACCUGGGCUAGAAUGCAUUUUGACCGUGGGUGAAAGCUCACUUUAUAGCAAUAUACAAUUUGUAAGGUGCUGCAUGGCUGUCGUCAGCUCGUGCCGUGAGGUGUUGGGUUAAGUCCCGCAACGAGCGCAACCC